rnacentral:rRNA from 1 species
GACGAACUGUGCAAACGUUAUUCGGAAUCACUGGGCUUAAAGGGUGCGUAGGCGGUCUUGUAAGUAGGGUGUGAAAGCCCCCGGCUCAACCGGGGAACUGCGUCCUAAACUGCGAGGCUUGAGUGAGGUAGGGGUGUGUGGAACUUCCAGUGGAGCGGUGAAAUGUGUUGAUAUUGGAAGGAACGCCGGUGGCGAAAGCGACACACUGGACCUUGUCUGACGCUGAGGCACGAAAGCCAGGGGAGCAAACGGGG